CCAUUUAGCCAGUCAGUACGAAUUCAAUAGUCGCGCCCAGAGCAACGGCAUUAGUUUUCACCGCCAGCCGCCGCCAGAUCCUUAAGUCCUGUCCAGCCGCUUCAAGAAGUUGGUUCGCAUACGAAAAACUCGAAUGAGAAAAUUGCGCAGUUGUUGUGAUUACAUAAUCGGAAGUACUUAGUGUCUGGGAGAGAGAGCUAUCGGAAGAAAAGCUAGCCAGUCGUAGGACUGGUCGAGUACCAGCUAGAUUUCGACAAAUUUGAAAAUUUAUUUGCGAGGCAGC